AUGUAUUAAUUACUUUUUACUAUUUUAAGUAGGUUUUAUAUAAUUAAUUAAUAUGUUCAAUACCUGUCCUUGUGCAGUAUACAAAUUACAAAUCUAAACAGUUCACCUUUCAUGUGACUUCCGUACAAUUUAUUCGACAAAGAAUUAAAACUAUUGCGAGAACCAAGUUAAACAUAUGCUAUCUACGAGCUACAACAAUCACAUUCAAACCAUCAUAACUCAAAUCAUUUCUAGUCAAGAGGGAACAAUAGUGAGUGAUGUAGGAAUGUGCCUGAGCCUCAAGGAGAUAACCUAUUUGGAAAAAUGCAGUGCUGCUCCAAUUCAUCAUUAUAUAAUUAUUUAAGUCAACAAAUAAGAGCUUAGUUUUGGAUAAACAAGGUAAAGAAUAUUAAGAAUAUCUUGGAACUAACAUUGACUUUUCAACUAUGAUUCAGCUCAUACAUCUUCUUUGGACAAUCACAUGUUUUUAUUUUCAGCCAAUUAAUUUUUAUCCUUACUGUUAAUUUUUGUAUAUUUAACUGUUAUUGGUGUUUUAUUUACUUAUUUUUUAACAAAAACAUAUUAUGGAUAGAAUUUAUUGACAAAAUGUUAACCAUUGUAAUACAUUAUACAGACAUAAAUUUUCUAAAUUUCGGUGCUGGUCUAGUUGACCUCCGCCAGGAAGGCAAUUCCCCCGCCACUCAAGUUUAGUUGACGCCCGCCAAUUACAUUUUGUAUUUUCGAUAACCAAUAAUUCAUAUUUUAUACAAUAUUAUACUUUUAUUAAAAAUUAUACAAUUAUGAACAAUUCAAGCGAUCAAAAU